rnacentral:rRNA from 1 species
GACGGGGGGGGCAAGUGUUCUUCGGAAUGACUGGGCGUAAAGGGCACGUAGGCGGUGAAUCGGGUUGAAAGUGAAAGUCGCCAAAAAGUGGCGGAAUGCUCUCGAAACCAACUCACUUGAGUGAGACAGAGGAGAGUGGAAUUUCGUGUGUAGGGGUGAAAUCCGAUAAUAUACGAAGGAACGCCAAAAGCGAAGGCAGCUCGUCUGGGUCCCUACC